rnacentral:rRNA from 1 species
GAUGAACGCUGGCGGCGUGCCUAAUACAUGCAAGUCGAGCGAACGGACGAGAAGCUUGCUUUUCUGAUGUUAGCGGCGGACGGGUGAGUAACACGUGGAUAACCUACCUAUAAGACUGGGAUAACUUCGGGAAACCGGAGCUAAUACCGGAUAAUAUUUUGAACCGCAUGGUUCAAAAGUGAAAGACGGUCUUGCUGUCACUUAUAGAUGGAUCCGCGCUGCAUUAGCUAGUUGGUAAGGUAACGGCUUACCAAGGCAACGAUGCAUAGCCGACCUGAGAGGGUGAUAGGCCACACUGGAACUGAGACACGGUCAAGACUCCUAAGGGAGGCAGCAGUAGGGAAUCUUACGCAAUGGGCGAAAGCCUGACGGAGCAACGCCGCGUGAGUGAUGAAGGUCUUCGGAUCGUAAAACUCUGUUAUUAGGGAAGAACAUAUGUGUAAGUAACUGUGCACAUCUUGACGGUACCUAAUCAGAAAGCCACGGCUAACUACGUG